AUCAGUUCGUCAUGGUCUGAGACAACUUCUGGUUCUAUCCCAUGGGACGAGGAACUGUCUGUUUUUUCAUUAUCAGAUGCAUCAGAAUCUGAGUCUAACUUGAUAGAAUCCAAUGUAAGAGCAGCACUGGUAGGGGCAGGUUCUGAGGCUGCCAAAGCAGGAUUUCCUCUUGUCCAAAUUGCAGGCAUCUUCUUGUCAUCCUCUUUCAUCCUCUCAGCAUAUUUAUUUAUAUCAAAACCCGAUGUAUCAUUUCCCCCAAAUGCAGCCUCCAGUUUAUCAAUAUCAAAUAGAUCCUCC
rnacentral:lncRNA from 1 species